rnacentral:rRNA from 1 species
GGGGAAUAUUGGACAAUGGGGGAAACCCUGAUCCAGCGACGCCGCGUGAGUGAAGAAGUAUUUCGGUAUGUAAAGCUCUAUCAGCAGGGAAGAAAAUGACGGUACCUGACUAAGAAGCCCCGGCUAACUACGUGCCAGCAGCCGCGGUAAUACGUAGGGGGCAAGCGUUAUCCGGAUUUACUGGGUGUAAAGGGAGCGUAGACGGCACUGCAAGUCUGGAGUGAAAGCCCGGGGCUCAACCCCGGGACUGCUUUGGAAACUGUGGUGCUAGAGUGCAGGAGAGGUAAGUGGAAUUCCUAGUGUAGCGGUGAAAUGCGUAGAUAUUAGGAGGAACACCAGUGGCGAAGGCGGCUUACUGGACUGUAACUGACGUUGAGGCUCGAAAGCGUGGGGAGCAAACA